rnacentral:rRNA from 1 species
UCGACGGUAGGUUAUUGGACUACGGUGACUAUAACGGGUGACGGAGAGUUAGGGCUCGACUCCGGAGAGGGAGCCUGAGAGACGGGUACCAUAUCCAAGGAUAGCAGCAGGCGCGUAAAAUACCCACUGUGGACUCCACGAGGUAUGAGACGAGAAAUAUCGAUGCGUAGCGUGUACGCGUUAUGCUAUCGGUAUGAGAGCAAUGUAAAACCCUCAUCGAGGAUCAACUGGUGGGCAAGUCUGGUAACAGCAGCCGCGGUAAUUCCAGCUCCAGAAGCAUAUACUAAAGUUGUUGCAGGUUAAAAAGCUCGUAGUUGAAUUUCUGGCAUGGGCGACCGGUGCAUUCCCUGAAUGGGGAUUGAUUGUCUGUGUUGCCUUGGCCAUCUUUCUCAUGCUAUUUUGGUAUGAGAUCUUUCACUGUAAUCAAAGCAGAGUGUUCCAAGCAGGUUGUAUGACCGGUAUGUUUAUUAUGGGAU